rnacentral:other from 1 species
AAUACCCUGCUGUGUGCGUGACCACCUUGAAGUUUUGAGCCAACAUUUUGUUUGAGGGAGCCUGGUCUCUGGUUAUGGCUUGUAUGCCCUUUUUUAAGGGAAACAUAAGAUAUCCAGGAGGGCACCCACCUGUUGAGAGCAGGUUCAAGAAAACUUUGGGGUUUCACGGCAUAAGUGGGGUUUUA